rnacentral:lncRNA from 1 species
UUUACCUGGAGGUUGUGGAGUCAGCUUUCUGGAGUCUCUUGAAAGUGGCUCAGUUGCUUUUAAAGAGAAGGAUUUGAGUAUCUGCCAAAUAUAACAUACAUGUGCAUGCUUGUACACACAUUCUUCAUAUGGAAAGAAUUCUUACUGGGGUAUAGUGGGGGAGGAACGAGGGAAAAUCUAGUAGCUUUUUUCUUAACAUUUUUUCUGGUGUGAACAUAAGCAGAAACUCAACACAGCACAGGCUGCAAGGGAAGGAAAAUUCAUCAAGUCUAAACUAUCUUCUCUCUUCUGGCACAAA